UUUAUGGAGAGUUUGAUCCUGGCUCAGGAUGAACGCUGGCGGCGUGCCUAAUACAUGCAAGUCGAGCGAACAGAUAAGGAGCUUGCUCCUUUGACGUUAGCGGCGGACGGGUGAGUAACACGUGGGUAACCUACCUAUAAGACUGGAAUAACUCCGGGAAACCGGGGCUAAUGCCGGAUAACAUGUUGAACCGCAUGGUUCUACAGUGAAAGACGGUCUUGCUGUCACUUAUAGAUGGACCCGCGCCGUAUUAGCUAGUUGGUGGGGUAACGGCCUACCAAGGCGACGAUACGUAGCCGACCUGAGAGGGUGAUCGGCCACACUGGAACUGAGACACGGUCCAGACUCCUACGGGAGGCAGCAGUAGGGAAUCUUCCGCAAUGGGCGAAAGCCUGACGGAGCAACGCCGCGUGAGUGAUGAAGGUCUUCGGAUCGUAAAGCUCUGUUGUUAGGGAAGAACAAAUGUGUAAGUAACUGUGCACAUCUUGACGGUACCUAACCAGAAAGCCACGGCUAACUACGUGCCAGCAGCCGCGGUAAUACGUAGGUGGCAAGCGUUAUCCGGAAUUAUUGGGCGUAAAGCGCGCGUAGGCGGUUUUUUAAGUCUGAUGUGAAAGCCCACGGCUCAACCGUGGAGGGUCAUUGGAAACUGGAAAACUUGAGUGCAGAAGAGGAAAGUGGAAUUCCAUGUGUAGCGGUGAAAUGCGCAGAGAUAUGGAGGAACACCAGUGGCGAAGGCGGCUUUCUGGUCUGCAACUGACGCUGAUGUGCGAAAGCGUGGGGAUCAAACAGGAUUAGAUACCCUGGUAGUCCACGCCGUAAACGAUGAGUGCUA
rnacentral:rRNA from 1 species